GAUCAUGGCUCAGGAUAAACGCUGGUGGCGCACAUAAGACAUGCAAGUCGAACGAACUUAACCAUUAGUUUACUAUUGGAGCGGUUAGUGGCGGACUGGUGAGCAACACGUAAGCAACCUGCCUAUCAGAGGGGAACAACAGUUAGAAAUGACUGCUAAUACCGCAUAUGCCUUAGAAUCACAUGGUUCAAAAGGGAAAGGAGCAAUCCGCUGAUAGGUGGGCUUGCGU
rnacentral:rRNA from 1 species